rnacentral:rRNA from 1 species
AGGACGAACGCUGGCGGCGUGCUUAACACAUGCAAGUCGAGCGGAAAGGCCCUUCGGGGUACUCGAGCGGCGAACGGGUGAGUAACACGUGAGUAACCUGCCCCUAGCUCUGGGAUAGCUCCGGGAAACCGGGAUUAAUACCAGAUACGACCACUUUAGACAUCUGUCGUGGUGGAAAGGAUUCCGGCUAGGGAUGGGCUCGCGGCCUAUCAGCUUGUUGGUGGGGUAACGGCCCACCAAGGCUGUGAUCCGUAGCUGGUCUGAGAGGAUGAUCAGCCACACUGGGACUGAGACACGGCCCAGACUCCUACGGGAGGCAGCAGUGGGGAAUAUUGGACAAUGGGCGCAAGCCUGAUCCAGCAAUGCCGCGUGAGUGAUGAAGGCCUUAGGGUUGUAAAGCUCUUUCGCCCGCGACGAUGAUGACGGUAGCGGGAGAAGAAGCCCCGGCUAACUUCGUGCCAGCAGCCGC